rfam:Clostridiales genomosp. BVAB3 str. TPII9-5, complete genome.
UCUUAUAAUUUUUUAGAACCGAAGACAGUAGGUGUCCAUAAAUCCUACCGAGGUACAUUUUGAAUUUUCAGUGUCCCUCGAUGUUUGUCCGAGGGGCACUUUAUUUUUGGAGAU